AUUGAGCGCUGGCGGCAGGCCUAACACAUGCAAGUCGAACGGUAACAGGAAACAGCUUGCUGUUUCGCUGACGAGUGGCGGACGGGUGAGUAAUGUCUGGGAAACUGCCUGAUGGAGGGGGAUAACUACUGGAAACGGUAGCUAAUACCGCAUAACGUCGCAAGACCAAAGAGGGGGACCUUCGGGCCUCUUGCCAUCGGAUGUGCCCAGAUGGGAUUAGCUAGUAGGUGGGGUAACGGCUCACCUAGGCGACGAUCCCUAGCUGGUCUGAGAGGAUGACCAGCCACACUGGAACUGAGACACGGUCCAGACUCCUACGGGAGGCAGCAGUGGGGAAUAUUGCACAAUGGGCGCAAGCCUGAUGCAGCCACGCCGCGUGUAUGAAGAAGGCCUUCGGGUUGUAAAGUACUUUCAGCGGGGAUGAAGGGAGUAAAGUUAAUACCUUUGCUCAUUGACGUUACCCGCAGAAGAAGCACCGGCUAACUCCGUG
rnacentral:rRNA from 1 species